UCAUUGACUUGCUUUGCAUGGCAGGCUCCCUGCACUUUGGUGCGGCCAACUGUCAUGGGGCGGUCUCUUCACUGUUCCCUCUGUCUGUAUUUUUUGCAUGCUAGGGAUGCUUGCUGUUGGUUGCCUGUGUGGUUCUACCCUUGGGGGUAGCACGAUUGUCAUGUCUUUGCUUAUUUAGCUUGCUCUGUUGAUGCUAUUCAGUUGACAGGGCGGCCGAGGGGUCAGCAAAUUCCAUGUGUUGCCAUGUGCGUGUGCCUUGGUACUGCAUUUGGAUGUUUGCUGGGUCUCAUGGAUGUUGUGCCCAUUGUGAGCUCUACAGGCUUCAUGCGUGUAGAACUCGUGAGGUUGCCCCGGCAUAGAUAAUUUCCCUGUUGCUUCACCGAUAUGUUGUGGUUUCAGCGACAUGUUGGAGUGUUGCUAUCAGUGUGUUAUUCUUUGCGUGUGGCAUGCCUCUGUAUUGAAUGACUUGCGAUUGCUGGUUUGCGUUGUCGUAAGA
rnacentral:misc_RNA from 1 species